rnacentral:rRNA from 1 species
GCAUAUCAAUAAGCGGAGGAAAAGAAACCAACAGGGAUUGCCCCAGUAACGGCGAGUGAAGMGGCAACWGCUCAAAUUUGAAAUCUGGCCCUUUCGGGUCCGAGUUGUAAUUUGUAGAGGAUGCUUUUGGCAAGGCGCCGCCCGAGUUCCCUGGAACGGGACGCCACAGAGGGUGAGAGCCCCGUCUGGCUGGCCGCCGAGCCUCUGUAAAGCUCCUUCGACGAGUCGAGUAGUUUGGGAAUGCUGCUCAAAAUGGGAGGUAUAUGUCUUCUAAAGCUAAAUAUUGGCCAGAGACCGAUAGCGCACAAGUAGAGUGAUCGAAAGAUGAAAAGCACCUUGAAAAGAGGGUUAAAUAGUACGUGAAAUUGUUGAAAGGGAAGCGCUUGUGACCAGACUUGGGCGCGGCGGAUCAUCCGGGGUUCUCCCCGGUGCACUUCGCCGUGUCCAGGCCAGCAUCAGUUCGUCGCGGGGGAAAAAGGCUUCGGGAACGUGGCUCCCCUGGGAGUGUUAUAGCCCGUUGCAUAAUACCCUGCGGUGGACUGAGGACCGCGCAUCUGCAAGGAUGCUGGCGUAAUGGUCACCAGCGACCCGUCUUGAAACACGGACCAAGGAGUCGUCUUCGUAUGCGAGUGUUCGGGUGUCAAACCCCUACGCGUAAUGAAAGUGAACGCAGGUGAGAGCUUCGGCGCAUCAUCGACCGAUCCUGAUGUUCUCGGAUGGAUUUGAGUAAGAGCAUACGGGGCCGGACCCGAAAGAAGGUGAACUAUGCCUGUAUAGGGUGAAGCCAGAGGAAACUCUGGUGGAGGCUCGCAGCGGUUCUSACGUGCAAAUCGAUCGUCAAAUAUGGGCAUGGGGGCGAAAGACUAAUCGAACCUUCUAGUAGCUGGUUUCCGCCGAAG